rnacentral:rRNA from 1 species
GUCCACGCCCUAAACGAUGUCAACUGGUUGUCGGGGAAGCAAUUCCUUGGUAACGAAGCUAACGCAUGAAGUUGACCGCCUGGGGAGUACGGCCGCAAGGUUAAAACUCAAAGGAAUUGACGGGGACCCGCACAAGCGGUGGAUUAUGUGGAUUAAUUCGAUGCAACGCGAAAAACCUUACCUACCCUUGACAUGUACGGAACCCCGCAGAGAUGCGGGGUGCCGAAAGGAGCCGUAACACAGGUGCUGCAUGGCUGUCGU